rnacentral:lncRNA from 1 species
GCCAAGAGGAAACUUAAAUGCUGGAAAAUUCAGCUGAAAUACCAAACAAUGGAAAAGAUAUUUGAUUCCGAAGCGAGGUAUCUUUCGCACCACCGAAAUAAAACAAGCAGUUGACUUCACAAGGAUGCAAUAGGAAACUUAUGUAAGCCAGAAAAUAGGUCCGGCAAGUUACCAUAUUACUUUCUGCUCCGACAAUUUUGCAUAGCAGAGGAAAGCAUGCAAUCAAAUUACUCCCUUUUUUCUGGUAUUUAAUAAUUAACUAGCGGUGUUCCAUGCGUUCAAAGAAUCCCACAAUCAACUAAUUCCCCAUCCGAACAAAAGCAAAUUACAAGCUCGAAUUAUUAAAACGAGAUGCGCCCAACAAGUACCUCAUCGCGGCCUGCAUCAUCACGGCGAUCGGAGACUGAGAACACCCCUGCCUAACGCACGGUAGACGCGACGUUGGACGCGCCGGAGGACACAAUCCUCGCGCAGUUCGACACGAACGGACCGAGAAGAACCCGUUGCCGCCGCUCCGGCCGUUCUUCGACCCACCAUCCUCCUGAUGCAUAUGCACAUUGUUCCUCGUCCCUCAGUCCCAACUCCCAAGAUCCACCGAGAGCCCCCAAAAGACGAAGGGGGAAAAAAGGAAACAAAAUUACAACUUUGGG